rnacentral:lncRNA from 1 species
AUGUGCGAAGAGAUAAUUUUCUCCUUUAUGUUCAAGAGAAUAUGUCCCUGCGACAUUUUUCACUCGAAUGUCAAGUGCUGGAAAAAUAACCUGCAAACAUCAACAGAAAAAUCUUAUACCACAAAUGUUCUGUGCAUCACGACGGGCUUACAGUUGGCCAAUAAAUUUCCACAAAUAUACCAAUAUAUGGGCAUUUCAGAAAUUAAUAUAUCUAUGAUAAAAACAUGUAGCUAUACAAGGUCCAUGCUUUGA